GUGGAAUCAAUGUGCACAGGUUAAACCAGCCAUCACCACACACACUAGAGAGAGAUCUCCUGCAUGGGAACAUGUAACUCCAGCUUCACCUAUAAUUGGCUGCAAACCUUACAAUAAACCGGCUUUCGGCAUCAUCUCCCUGUGUCCUCGUCUUGAGCCAAGCCAAAUAUGUCCUCUAGUAUCGUACAAAGGAGAAGCACUAAUGACGCUUUCCUGGCCACACGCCACCAGUAGACGUCUACCCUGCCAACAGACGGCUAAUGUGCGGAUCGGGGAAAGGAAAUGGUGGAUGGUGUUCCGAACCCUCCAAGCUCAGAGUGCACGAUAAAGGAUGCUGAGCGGAAAGAUAAAGUUGGCCUGGGUUGCAACCAUGGAUGAAACUGCUGAAAUAUUUCAUUGCAAAUCCACAAAACAGUUGGAGAAUGGCUCACAAUAGCAUUUUCACCUUUCAAGAUAAAUGCGGAAAAGAAGCACCAGACAACAUUGAUGAAUAGUUUCUACUGAUAAUGGCCAAUGACGAGUCCUGCUCUGCCUCUGUUAGCUCACCCUGAUAUUUUAAACCAUCUCCCUCUGCGUGCCAAGAAGCAGCCCACCGUACCACAGGAGGCAACGUGUAUGAGCCCGUUCUGACUAUCAGAGCAGCAAGACUAGCAAGUAGGGUGGGUCAAAACACAUCGGGCAAGCUGCCACUGGAG
ensembl:lncRNA